rnacentral:rRNA from 1 species
AUGCCACGGAUGAAGGAUCAUCAUCCGCCUGCAUCCCCAUUAGGAUCAGGGGAACGUUCCCCGUUUAAAGGUCUGACAAAUACGCAUACUCAUGUGAAUGCAAAUCAAGCGGGUGAAAAACUGCAAGAACAAAUACCAAAAAGUGGUCAAAAUUGGUUUGCACGAAUGUCUGAUGAGAAGAGAGCGGAAUACAACCAGAAGCGAUGUAUUGCCCGAGCACGAAGACACCUUCUCCACUACGAUCUACUCACAGCGCCUACGGUUCAGAGAUGCAUGUUCACUGAAAGUACUCCUGUGAAGGCUGCAUAUUCUACUAACUUCCUGUGUAGAAGCAUGCUCAUAGGAAGUUCAUCUACAUUGAUUCUUGAUUUACCCUUCUUAUUACCAUUUGCUAACUUAACCACCUCUCUCUCUCUCAUGUUGUUUCUGAAGAUAGUUUAUGUGUCAUGUCGACAAGGGUGUUUGAUGGGAAAUCUAGGAAGGCUGCAUAUGAGGUGA